GACUAGUGGCGGACGGGUGAGUAAUGUAUGAGCAACCUGCCUUUCAGAGGGGGACAACAGUUGGAAACGACUGCUAAUACCGCAUAAUGUACAUUGAAGGCAUCUUCGAUGUACCAAAGGAGCAAUCCGCUGAAAGAUGGGCUCAUAUCUGAUUAGUCAGUUGGCAGGGUAACGGCCUACCAAGACUGCGAUCAGUAGCCGGACUGAGAGGUUGAACGGCCACAUUGGGACUGAGAUACGGCCCAGACUCCUACGGGAGGCAGCAGUGGGGAAUAUUGGGCAAUGGGCGAAAGCCUGACCCAGCAACGCCGCGUGAAGGAAGAAGGUCUUCGGAUUGUAAACUUCUUUUAUGAGGGACGAAGGACGUGACGGUACCUCAUGAAUAAGCCACGGCUAACUACGUGCCAGCAGCCGC
rnacentral:rRNA from 1 species